UCGUGGUGCAUUACCUGCC
rnacentral:misc_RNA from 1 species